rnacentral:rRNA from 1 species
UACGUAGGGGGCAAGCGUUGUCCGGAAUCAUUGGGCGUAAAGCGCGUGUAGGCGGCUCGGUAAGUCUGCUGUGAAAGUCCAGGGCUCAACCCUGGGAUGCCGGUGGAUACUGUCGAGCUCGAGUCCGGAAGAGGCGAGUGGAAUUCCUGGUGUAGCGGUGAAAUGCGCAGAUAUCAGGAGGAACACCAAUGGCGAAGGCAGCUCGCUGGGACGGUACUGACGCUGAGACGCGAAAGCAUGGGGAGCGAACAGG